GACGAACGCUGGCGGCGUGCUUAACACAUGCAAGUCGAACGGAAAGGCCCUGCUUUUGUGGGGUGCUCGAGUGGCGAACGGGUGAGUAACACGUGAGUAACCUGCCCUUGACUUUGGGAUAACUUCAGGAAACUGGGGCUAAUACCGGAUAGGAGCUCCUGCUGCAUGGUGGAGGUUGGAAAGUUUCGGCGGUUGGGGAUGGACUCGCGGCUUAUCAGCUUGUUGGUGGGGUAGUGGCUUACCAAGGCUUUGACGGGUAGCCGGCCUGAGAGGGUGACCGGCCACAUUGGGACUGAGAUACGGCCCAGACUCCUACGGGAGGCAGCAGUGGGGAAUAUUGCACAAUGGGCGGAAGCCUGAUGCAGCAACACCGCGUGCGGGAUGACGGCCUUCGGGUUGUAAACCGCUUUCGCCUGUGACGAAGCGUGAGUGACGGUAAUGGGUAAAGAAGCACCGGCUAACUACGUG
rnacentral:rRNA from 1 species